rnacentral:lncRNA from 1 species
GACGAUUCAGUGUGACGGUAAUUUGUUCAUUUAACCUUCAAGUGGGGCUUCGCGCCAGUGCGGAUUUCCCCUGAAAAGGUGUACUCACGGUACAGCACCCCUGCAUUGCAGUGAAACGACCUUUACAGGGGGUUGCAUGCGGUUUGUCUAUUCGUUCAUUUCGAAAACUUCGAAAUUUAGAAUAAUUUAAAUUCGUUCCGAAGC